CGAUCGAUGGUAAGUGAUUAUGAUCGAUCGAUGUUGCUCUUCAAGCGUCGAUCGAUUUUCCUUGCGUAAAAGCAUUCCAAAAUGUCCCAACAGUAUUAUUUCCUUCCAUCAGGUGAAUAAACCUGUAUUUGCUUUGAAAAGACUCUAAAACAUGAUUAAUACAUCAUAAAACCUUUAUAGACCAUGUAUAAAAACGGGUGAAAAUCAUGGUAUAUCACUAGUCCUGCCCUAGCCCUUAUUGUCUUUGUGUUUCCGUUGAUUGUUUCAUAUGAUCUUUUUUUACUUUGUCAAGGUUGUCGAAUUGAUUUCAAAUUUAAUUUACGAGAAUCAUUUCGCAAAUGUUGUCAAAUUUAUUUUACGAAAUUUGUAUCAUAAAAUACUACCUCGUUUCACUCUACGAAUGAAGUUCCGUAAAAUAUUGCCGAGUUUAAGUUUACGAAAGAUGUUUCGUAAGAUGUUUGCCGGGUCUAACGAAAGUUGUUUCGUAUAAUGUAUUCAAGUUUAUUUUGACGAAAGUUGUUUCAUGAAAUGUUGUCGAGCAUAAUUUUACAAAGGUUAUUCCGCAAAAUGUUAUCGAGUUAAUUUGGCAAAAACUGUCUCGUCAAAUGUUGUCGAGUUUAAUUUAAAAAAAUUUGUUUCGUAAAAUGCCGCCGAGUUUGAUUUAGUGAAAUCUGCCUCGUAAAAUGUUGUCGAGUUUGGCUGUACGACAGCCGUUUUCGGAGAAACUCAUGUUUUGCGGUUUGUUCCGCAAAUUUAGGUUCAUGGGUUUUAGUAUAAGAAACUCUGGCGGUGAUGAGCUUAAUUAUCGAGACUAAACUUAGGGCCCGACUGGUUCAAACGCAGCGGUUUCGUUAGUUUGCGGAUGCAUGUGUUUGCGGUUUCUAGCGGUUUUAAGAGAUUUGUACGACUAGUUCUACAUUUAUAAUUUGAUGCCUUUGCGGGAUACUUAUGACUUGUUAACUUCCAAAUGCAGCAGAGGUUAAAUAAUAAAUUAACAAUAUUUACAUUUUAUAAAAUAUCAAAAAACAUAAUACUAUAAUAAAUAUAAAAAUUUUAUUUAGAAAGUUAUAGUUUUAAAUUUUUAAAAAUUAUAGAAAAUAUAUAUUUUUUAAAAAUUUUAUAAUAUUAAUUAAAAUAUAAUCGAUAUAUUUUAGUAUUUUUAUAAUUCCAAUUUAAUUUUUUAAUGCAUAUUUUUAUUUUUGUAUUUAUAUAUUGUUUUUUUCAAAAGAAAAAAAAUUAUCCUCCCACAACUGCCCGCAACCACAAACGCUAGCUGAAACCAGCUUUUGAAUUUAUGAGGUUUAGAUCGGUUUGAAGCGGUUUAGAGCGUUUUGAGUAAUUGUUGCAAAACGCCAACAACCGCUACCAACCGCAAAAGCUGUGUUUGCGGGUGGUAGCGGAGAAACAAGUCAUACCCUUAAUCAGAAAUUUUUUCGCUUCCGCAUGAUUGAUCCGAGGGAGUUUUGAGUAGUGUUUCCAAAGUAAGCUUAGGUGUUCAUUAUCGAGAAUUCUGUGAAUAUGUUACUAUAAAACCGAUGCUUGAAUUUUUAGGAAAUCUUAGGUCUCAGAAAACGUUUUAGCAGUGAGGGAUAUGAUCUCUCGUUUUGCUUAGUUCAGUCUUCAUGAACCGUUUCAGGUUUCCAAUGAUUCAAUAGAAAUCAACUUCGUUUAUCUGCAGGUUAUUCAGAAGAAGUAUGGCAGUGGGGGAUUAGGAAUCCGAUUUGCCGUGCUUUUAUUUCCGUGAGUAAUGUAGAGUUUCUCCGCAGUUUUAGUGAGAUCAAGUUUAUUUUUUGAAAGGUUUUCGGAAAACAUUUUUGAUCAAACCCUUACUUGUUGAGACUUCUCCAUCUCGGUAAUGAAACAAAUUAUACAGAGAAAUCGCGAUCUCAGUUUCGUACUCUUCCAUUGGAGAAAAGUCGCGACUAGGUUUUUGGUUUUCUCGAGUUCUACGGCAUUUGUGUAAGCGUUGGCCAUAGGAGCAGUCGCUGCUGGAGUUUUUUACCAGUGUGUUUGCGAGCUGCGAGUUUGUUUUUCAUAUUUCCAGACUUGUUUUUGAUCAAGCAUUUUGCGGCCGUAAGAGUAAGAGUAAUCCCCCCCCCCCCUCCCCUCCUUCUAGCGCCAAACUGUGGGAACCAAAAUUCACACCGUAGAUUUUUGUUAACGAAUGAAAGCAAAGAAACCCGUACUUUCCAUGAGAUCCGGAUUCUCUGCGAGAUCCUACGACAAGUGACCAAAUGAAUGCGGAAAAAUAUGGAAAGAUAACAAAACAAAUUUAAAAAAAAAUGGAUGUUUAUUUCGAAUUUGCGUAUGAGCGUUCCAGAGACAAAAGCAUACAUGAAGAUUGUCUAGAAACGGGAUUACAAAGGAAAAUGUAUAACACAAACAGUAAAAGGAGACUAAGUUUGCUAGCAUUGCCACCUAUGCGGAGAAAAACCUAUGUGGACGCAACUCGCUUAGCAAUAAAAAGACGACAAAGAUUUAAAACAUUUCGGACUGCCUACGUACCCCCUUAGAGGAUCAAGCCGAACGUAGUUCAAUUAAGAGAGUGGAACAAAAGAUCGAGCUCCUGGGCGAGUUCAUCUAGUAAUCGAGUGCCAGUCAUAGAAACCGAACUUGUCAAAAAUAAAGCCUAAAGUUUUAAGUGCAGAGAGUUCUAUGAGUCAAAUAUUGUCUUGCGCCUAUCGCCUUGGCAUCCCUUAUAUACUCCUCCUAGGUCAGUUUUGGCUUUCAUUUUCCGCUUUUGGGUCGAAUUUCUCUUCUCGCGGAAAUAUUCCAUUUUUCUCAAUCUUCAUGAUUAUCCUUUGAAACUUGACAUUUAUCUUCGAAAGUUGACAUUUAUCUUUUCCUGUGAGUAAAAGAAAAACCGUCGUAGUAGUCUUGGGCUCAUUGUCGUCUAAAAUCACAAGUGGGCUUUUUAGCUGCGUUUUUAGACCUCUUUGGGCUGUUUUACGCCUUUAAGCGUUUUUACGAUUUCUUAGAGAAAUUGCCUUCGGUACGACGCUGGUUUUAUGAAAGAGUCUAAAUCAAUCGUAUAGUCAAGGCAGCGGGUAUUUUAAGUUAACAGUUGCCUUUUAUACGAUCGAUUCAAACAUAUACGAGAAAUCAAGUCUUUGCGGUUUUUAUCAUAAAGUUUCAACGGUAACUCCAAUUGAGACGAAACAAGAGACUGUGCGGUCACGGUUUGAAGGAGGGAGCUACGAGGAUGAGACGAGAAUGCAUGAUAUUGAUAUGAUACAGUCGUAGUUGGCGAGUUGGCAAGGAUCAACCCAACUCACCAUAUGGGGAGCUGGUUGAGAAGGACCGAGCUCGCCAUAUGGCGAGCUGAUCAGGAUAGACCGAGGUGGCGAGCUCGGUGGGGACAGGCUGAGCUCGCCAAAUGGCAAGCUGGUCAGGACAGGCCGAGCUCCCUAUAUGGCAAGCUGGUCGGGACAGGCCGAGCUCCCCAUAUGGCGAGCUGGUCGCGACAAGCCGAGUUCGCCAUAUAGCAUGGAUUUUACCCAUUUUUAGCCAUGUAUAUAGGUAUUUUUAAGUACCUUAUAGUUGUUUUGGAGUUUUUUUUAGUAUGAUUUCAUGUUUUGGAGUGAUUUGGAGGAAAGUGGUGAUUUUGGUGCAUUUUGGAGAGAAAAUGAAAAGGCCCGAAGUUGACCAUCGACCACGACUAUCGAUCGAUGGGGAAGGCAACAAUCGAUCGACACACACCUUGUGGUGUCGAUUGACGGCGAAGCGCGCAGAAGCCAGAUUGGGUUCCAGCCGACUUAAAUCUCAACUCCUACAAGAAUUACCAGAUUACCACUGACGAGUUUUAACCUAAUAUUUAUGUGCCCUGCCAUUGUUCUAGGCAUCGCACGCUUUCAUUCUUUUCUACUUUUUAUACCACAAAAUACUUGAGUCUUAGGUUUGGAGAGAAGAUCCAAGAACUCCUUCAGACCUUUAUGAUUGGAACUCCAAUUUCUUUACUCUAUUCUAUUUAUGCAAUUUACUUAUUCUAUUGUUAUGAAUUGUUUAGCCUUGUCUAAGUAGUUCACCUUGUUAGAUUUAGGGUUCAGACAUUCAUGAGGGAUUAGCCAAAAAUAUAGAAUUGUUAAGUGUCAGGAUAUUAAUCAACUAAACUAUUCCUAAUGCAUGUGUUCUAUAAUAGCUAACUAGGACUUCGCCAAUAGACAUUAGGGCGGAUUCAGAAGUUUGGUUAUUUGUCUGAAAUAGUUUAGGUUGUGCUAGGAUUGCUAGAAAGAAGUGGAAGCUGAUUUAGUUAACCUAGUGAACAUGUUUAAACCUGUUCGUAACGCUCCCUAGAAGGAACGUCGAUCGACAACUCGUUAGUUGUAUCGAUCGACGGGCUUAAAGGUGUAUCGAUCGACACCCCGUUGUUGGAAUCGAUCGACACUUUCUCAGGACCAACAAGCGACAUUUGAGGUCCUAGAUCCAGCGAUAGAUAGCCUAAAUAUACAGAAGUUGAUCGACUAUUCUUAUCGACGGAAGAGUAGUCUCGGUGUAUGAGGUGGAGUAUCGAUCGAUGUCGGGUGGGUAUGGGCGGUCGACGGAAUAGUAGUCUCGGUCGAUGGGGGAAGGCGAGUGUCGGUCGACGAACAUGUGCUUUUGUCGAUAAAUGUGGUACGUUUUUUCCUUUGCGGAUGGUACGUUCUAGUAGUGCAGGAUCUGAAAAGAGAAGUGUAUGUUCCUUGUUGCUUUUGUUAUUACUGGGGAUGCACCUGAAAAAUUUACCAGUUUUUUUUGCAAGUAACAAAAACCUAGACUAAACGUAACUAAGUUUGAUCUAAUGGAGAUCGAAACUCCCGGCAACGGCGCCAGAUGAUAUCUCUCAAAUUACCGUAAAGAGUGAUUUACUCUCUCAAAUAAGAGGUCCAAUUGUAGUACUUAGGGAUCGAAUUCACAGGUAGCUAAGACACACAAUAGAUCUUAUCCAUAUAUGCUCAGCAUUUUCUACAGAGGCAUCGCGCUAUCAUAUCAGAUGGCUCUGAACGCAGCCAGUGACGGGAACUUUCAGAUUAGGAGUCCAAAAGAGGCAGAUAGGCUUAUUGAGGACCUCACAGCAUGUAGUAAUAGAACGGAUUUCAAAAGAAGGGAAACAGCUGCUGCUCUCUGGGGAGAAGAGAUGGAUGCAGUGGAAGUUAAGAUGGAUAGUGUCUACAAACUCCUCACAAACCAGAACAGCCUUGGAAGGAAUGGAGGGACAUAAGAUACCAUAGGCUACAAGAAGGAUUUUAGACAUGUAGAUUUCAUUAAAUCAUUCAAAACCUCAUCUUAUCAGAAACCACCUCCGGACACUGAGGAGAGCAGAAUUGAAGUGAUACUUGAUCAGGUCCUUGAAAGCCAACAGAGGUUGAUGGUGAACUUCAUUGGAAAAAUAGAUGAUGUGUCUAUAAACCUGAGCUCAAAGAUCAAAACUCUGAAUGCAAGAUUGAAGAAGGUAGAAGUUGAGGUAAUCUUGACAUCGAACACUGUUAGGAAGCAUGAAACAUUCAUUCAGAGUAAAGGGGAUGACUCACUGAUGCACCACGUGAAUGCCAUCAUGGAUAAUGAUUUCUUGGAAGUGGUUAAGGAAGAGAAGCUUCAGGAGGGCGAUUUCUAAGUCAAAAGCUCCAUGAGAUUCGGCGGUUCACAUUGGUGUCGAUCAACGCCAAGCUUUGAGCAUCGACCAACGGAGACAAACGGACAUCGAUCGACAUCAGUUUCUCCACAUUGAUCGACAAAGGAAGUUGCAUCAUGCGCGACCGUCAGAAUCCUAACUCACGAGGAGUUCGCAGCUAAACACUCUCAUCAACCUAAUCUCUUAUGUAUCAAGAGGUCUGACAUUGAUCCACACCAGGAUCCAGCCACCGAUCGAUAGCCAGACUCAAACGACGACCGAAACAUCUCAUCAAGCAUCGAUCGACGACAACCUCUGACCUACUGAGUGCAAUUGCCAAAGAUAGAUGUAGCACACUUGAAUGCACUCAGAAACCCAUCUCAACCUUCAGAACAUAUGGCAGACAAUUUCGAACAGCUUUCAAAUGAUGCACCAGAGCCAAUGCAAGUUGAUCAGACUUCUGAGAGGAGAACCUUGAGGAAUAGAAAGGAAAAGGUUCCUAAGCAUCUCAAGCGAGGAAUCAAUUAGAAGGAGAUGGAUAGCUUCACUAAAAGAGUUCUCAGGAUACCCUUGGAGAAGCCAUUCCAGGAGGCUUACUUUACCCACAGGUUGUGGAUGUUCUUCAGGGAAGCCAAGGAAACUGAGUAGGAAAAACAUAGGAUCUUCGAUUAGACAGAGAGAAGAUGAAGCAUAUGAUUACACUGAAGAAGAAGAAUGUUUCUUGGAAAUUUGCAGUGCCAUGUUUGGUCAAGGGCAUUGAGUUUCCAUGUGCGCGGUGUGACGCAGGUUCAUCAGUCAAGAUACUACCCAAGGUAAUGGCAGACCAUCUGGGUCUGAAGAUAGAGCCUUUGCAGAAUUCAUUCACUUUCGUGGAUCAUUCUACGAGGAACUCAGGAGAUAUCAUCAGAGAUCUUGAGGUGCAGAUUGGUAAUGCACUAGUUUUGGUUGACUUCCAUGUCCUGGAAAACAAGCAAAACAAGAAUCAUUCUCUACUCCUUGGAUGAGCUUUCAUGGCCACUGUAAGAGCAGUCUGCAACAUGCAGACGAAUCAGAUGUGCUUUACACUGAUUUAUCCAGAUGUCUACAAUGAUCUAGUCAGAGUUGUGAGCCCACAGACGUCCAACACUGGAGUUAACACAUGAUUCAUUGCAGCAUGGCACUGCAACUAUGAGGAUGAAUACGAAACCGAGUAUUAAGGAUCGAUCGACAGCGAGAUUCCGCCAUCGAUCGACUUAGCCUUUCAUCCGCCAAUCAACGACAAGUCCAUAUAAUCGAUCGACAACAGUCCUGUGAUCUCACUCAAAUUACUCUAAGGAGUGAAUUACUUUCUCAAAUAAGAGGUUCAAUUGUAGUACUUAGGGAUCGAAUCCACAAGGAGCUACAGAACCUAAUAAAUCUAAUCAGAGUGAUUAAGCUAGGUUGAUUAUGUUUAAAUAUAAAUAAGCAGGUUGUGAGCAAGGCAGUUGCUCGAUUGAUUUGAUUGGGUUUUUGGUACUUAGAUUAAAUAGCUAGACUUAGGGUUUCUAUUCAGGUAAUCGGGAUUAUAAUCUUAUAGAUGCUUAAUAGUUGUAUGCAUGAUAUUAUAGAGCUCAAGGUCUUAAUAACAAACUGAUCGGUGUUUGCUUUCUAGGUUUCUCUAUUGACCAGAUGAAGUGUGGAUCGAUGAUUCUAGAGGAAUAUCGGUUGAUACACUUGUUUUACCGUCAACCGAUUAUUCUAUAGGAAUAUCGAUCGACGAGCGUUAGUCAAGCUUUACACACGGAUUGAAUAAUGUUCACUAGGAUUCUUAGAUCAGCUUUCGCCUUACUCUACAAUCCUAUCUCAAUUAGGACAGAUUCAGGUGGCAAGUGAUAACUUGAGUCUACAACUCCUACGUCAAGUUCUAGAUAGUUAAACUAGAAACAUGCAUUAAUGACAAUCCUAAUGAUGAAUAUCAAAACUAGCAAUCUAUAGUUGGGGCUAAUCCCUCACAACAUAUUUAAACCCUAAACCUAAGAAUAGAACUACUCAGACUUAGCUAAGCAAUUCAUAACAUCAAUUAGGUAUAAAAACUACAUAGAUAGAUAGAAAAAUAGAUAAUAAUAGAGUUUCACUCACAAAUCUCUUUCGAUCUUCUCUCCAACUCUACUAAAAUCCCAGAAAACCUUUGCUGUAAAAAUAUGAAAACAAAAAAGCACACUUUGCCUCUAACAUGUUGUUAAGCUAUAAAUAUUAGGUUAAAACUCGUCAGGGUAAUCUUGUAAAUUGGUGAAGUCUUGGGCUCUAAGUCGGCUUGGACCAAACGGACUUCUGCACGGUUCGCUGCCGAUCAAUAUCACAGGGUGUGCAUCAAUCAAUUAUUUAUUCUAAAUGUCGACCGCUAGUCUUGCUCGAUGGUCAGCUCGGAUCCUUUCUCCUUUUAUCUCCAAAAUGCUCUAAAAUCAUCACUUUCUUCCGAAACAAUCCUGAACCUAUAAAUAUACUAAAAAGACUCUAGAAUAUAGUAAUUAGUUUAUUAAAACAUUUAUAAACCAUGGCUAAAAGUGGGUAAAAUCCAAGGUCUAUCAUCCUGCGAAUGCGACUUUCACUUUACCAGCACACUACUAUCCGCGCUUUGAGGUUUCUACACAGCCUCAGACAGCGAUUGAUUACCACUACGGUGAUACGAUCAGCAGACAAGGCAAUUAUUCUAUUGGCAGUUGGGCAGAUGACAGCCUUUAUGAGAGCUUCGCAGUAGACACUGAACUACCGGAGACAAGAGCUGAUGAGUAUGACGCGGACUACCAAAGAGAGAAGAACAUUGAGUAUCAUGGUCUUGCCAUGGAUGAUAGAGGACUUCUCCAAACAUGGUCUGCAGAUGUGAUGUCAACAUCGAUUGACAGCAACAUCAAGCUAUCGAUUGACGAUCAUCGAAAACCAAAUAUUGAGGUACAAGUUAAAGAUAAUACUGAUUAGGAUCUAAUUCUGGAUGAAUUGGGUAUUUUUUCAGAGAUUCAGCAGGACGAGCACGAGGAAUGGAUGGGAGUAUCCUCAACGUCUCAAAGGAAGAUUUCACAGAACUUUUUGCCAUGCAUAAAUCCAACCUCUUUAGCCAAUCGCAUAAUGAAACUGCUAUUCAACCAUCGAUCGAUAGGACACCCUUGUCGUCGAUCGACGGUUUACUCGCGAAUGGACAAAGAGUUUAUGAUCAGAAUGGCUAGAGAAGGUUUCAAUGGGAACCAAAGGAUGAGUAUGGUGUUUACAGAUAUGAUCAUGGAUAUGCACGAGCUGUAGGCGGUAGCGCCAUACUUGUGUCGAAAGAGGAUAUCCGACCUAUUCUGGAAAGAGCUACACUGCACGAGCGCUCUUAUAUCUGUCUUCCAGAACAUGCAGAAGGGUACACUAUGUCAGUGCCAGAUAAAGACAGCUACAACAAAGUAGAGAUCAAUGAAUUAGUAGAAUGGAUCUACAAAGUUAUCAGAACUUCAGAUGAUUAUCAUUCGAAGAGGCUUGAUGAUGUCUACUACCCGUUCGAGAACAAUAUCAGUUGGUUGACCACACGGAGGGAUGAGAUGAAGCAAAACCUAGCUAUGCUUCAGAAACAACAUGGAGUCGGCACAAGAAUAUCAACAUUGAUCGACGAUAGCAUCCAAACAUCGAUCAAUGCCCGAUUCACAUCAUUCAAAGAUAGGCUACAAUCAUUCACCUAUCGUCUUGAUGGUGUUUGAUACCCACUCCGUGAUAGUGUGGAUGAAUUUAUUUCACGCCUGGACGCUUUGCAACAGGAAAUGGAUACAAUUCAGAGACAAAUCGAUUCUCAAGCAGAAUUGUCACCAUCGAUCGACAUAAGGACUCGACCAUCGAUCGACGGCGACUAUGCAGCGCGACGAAGCAAGUUGGUUACCGAAAAGUCACUACAAGAUAAGCUUAAUGAGAUCACUUUCUCUCAAGACUUGCUGAAAGAAGAUGUCUACUAGUAGCUGAAGGACAUCUCAAAAACAACAUAUGCCAGACUUGGAAUGCAACAGCGCAACAUUGGGAAUCUUCACGAUAGGAUGCAUGCAAGUGAGAUUGCAAGUGAGGUUGCAAGUGAGGUUGCUAGAGAAAAAUUGAAGAAUCAGUGGACCAGAGGAGAUAAGGCCAUAAGAAGCUUCAUUGGCAAUUGGUUCCAGAUGAGCCAAGAUGAAGUGGACACUUGCAUACAAACAAGUGGUCACUUUGAUCGUUACUAGCUCAAACAACCUCCAAAGUCAAGCUAAAUGACUAUAACAAAGUGUUGAGUGGGAGGCAAUCCACUAUUAGGUAAUUCCUUUUAGUUUUAUUAUUUACAUAUUAUUUAUUUUGGUUUUUACUUUAUUGCAGGUCUAAGAAAAAUAUAGAAAAACCAAAAAGAGAACCAAGGAGAGAUUACUUGUCAUCGACUGAUGAGACAAGGUCGACAUCGAUCGACAGUACAUCACCAACACCGAUCGAUAGACACAAUCUCAUGUCGAUCGACAGCGACAUCAGCGAUCAGGUAUAUCGUUAUCCUUGUUACAUUCAGUACUUAUGAUUUAUAUUCUCACCAAACUCUGAAUAGAUAUACACUGGGGACAGUGUAAUUUAAGUCUGGGGGAGGUUUACUAAUAUUAUUUAUUUAUGAGUUUUUAAAUUUUUUCAUAAAGUUUUAUUGAGUCAAGAAAGAGACAAUGGACUUCUACAAUUUUCCUUACUCAUCUAACCACUCUUUAGCACCUUUCUUAGAUUUAUUGACUGCAUAAUGUACUAUAGAUGCUAAAUUGGAUCAGCAUGCCGGUUAGUUACACUUGCUGAGAAUGUUUGCAAGAACCAAAGCUGACCUCCAACCUAAUUGAGCUUAACUUGCUUGUCUUGGGGCCUUGUAUAUAUUGGAUCGGAAUCCUCCUGCAAGUCUGGAAGGUAUUAGAUUUAGUGUCACUGAUUUUCCUUCCACCUCUCUUUGGCAUCCAUAUGUAUUUAUAAAAGAUUGAGAUGAUUACCUAAGAUGCAGAGGGGUAGGUACAUUACUUAUGACCCCAAUAUUCUAAUUCAAAGGAAUGAUAACAUAAUGUUUGGAAGCGAAGUGUAGAUACAUUAUCGAUGACCCCACUAUCCGCCUACAACUUUGUCAAAAAAAAAUUCAGAUUCAGAGAAGCGAGAUGAGAGAAAGGAAAUAAGAAAAGGUUACCUACAAAUCCAGAUACUUGCUUGAGUUGAUUCCAUGUGUUCACUGAUCGAUACUCCCAAGGUAAAGCCUACACUUUUUUAUUUACAUGCACUAAAUGAAGUGAGUAAAGGGGUUAGUCAGACAUGAUUAGUUAAGUUGCAGGAUGAAUGAAAUUGGUUGCUAAGCAAGGAUAUUUCAUAGAAAGUGCUCCUAAGUUAAGAUUGAUUUGAUGUGGUUGGAAUACUGUUGAGGUGAUGAUAGUAAGUUCUUAAAUUAUGUGAGUCUCUAUUGUUUCAAAAACACCUUUCAGAGAGACUGCUCAUUGUUUUUGCUUGAGGACAAACAAAAGAGUAAGUCUGAGGGUGUUGAUGUACCAUGGAUUUUACCCAUUUUUAGCCAUGGUAUAUAUGUGUUUUUAGAUACCUUAUAGUUGUUUUGGAGUCUUUUUAGUAUGAUUUCAGGUUUUGGAGGAAAGUGGUGAUUUUGGUGCAUUUUGGCGAGAAACUGACAAAGGCUCGAAGUUGACCAUCGAUCGAUACACACCCUGUAGUGUUGAUCGAUCGACACACACCCUGUAGUGUCGAUCGGCGGCGAAGCGCGCAGAAGCCAGAUUAGGUUCCAGUCGACUUAAAGACCAAGUCCCAAAGGAAUUACAAGAUUACCGUGACGAGUUUUAACCUAAUAUUCAUGUGCUCGGCCAUUGUUCUAGGCAACAUACACUUUCAUUCUUUUCUACUUUUCAUACAGCAAAAUACGUAGAGUCUUAGUUUGGAGAGAAGAUCCAAGAACUCCUUCAGAGCUUUGUGAUUGGAACUCCAAUUUCUUUACUCUAUUAUAUUUACGCAAUUUACUUAUUCUAUUGUUAUGAAUUGCUUAGACAUGUCUGAGUAGUUCACCUUGUUAGAUUUAGGGUUCAGAUAUUUAUGAGGGAUUAGCCCAAAAUAUAGAAUUGCUAAGUGUCAAGAUAUUAAUCAACUCAAUUGUUCUUAAUGCCUCUGUUCUAGAAUAGCUAACUAGGAAUUUGCCUAUAGACAUUAGGGGGCAUUCGGAAGUUUGGUUCUUUGUCUGAAAUAGUUUAGGUUGUGCUAGGAUUUCUAGAAACAAGUGGAAGCUGAUUUAGUUAUCCUAGUGAACACGUUCAAACCCGUUCGUAACGCUCCCUGGAAGGAACGUCGAUCGACAACUCGUUAGUUGUAUCGAUCGACAUGCUGAAAGGUUUAUCAAUCGACACCCCGUUGUUGGAAUUGAUCGACACUUUCUCAGAACCAACAAGCAGCACCUGAUUUUCUAGAUCCUGCGAUAGAUAGUCUAAAUAUACGAAAGUUGAUCGACUAUUCUUAUUUGUUUGAGUUCUAGAAUAUCCAUUUUAUGCUUAGUAUUAUAUAUCUCUUUAAUUCUGAUUGUCUGAAUAGAAACCCUAAGGGUCUAACUGGUGACCAUUAUAUGAACAUUAGGAGUACGUAGGGGAAACAAGAAGAGGAAUAAAAUUAUAGACAAAAAAGAAGAUAUUCCUUAUCAAUUUUGGGGAGGAACAAAUUUGUUCUACAUUCCUCUAGAAUAAAAAAAAUGAGAAGGAAUGAAAAAAAAAACAACUAUUCCUUGUAAAUGGUAAAAUAAAAAAGGAAUAAUAAGGAAUGCAUUAUUCCAUUUCAUUCCUUGGUUACCAGUUAGACCUUAAGUCUAAUGCUUUUCAUAUCUGUCUUAAAACCCAAUCAACCAAUCCAUCAAACAAUUGUUUACUCCUGCUAAUUUACAUUUAAAACCAUUCCUCCUAGCUUAACUACAUAACUAGAUAGAUCUAUUGUGUGUCUUAUCUUCCUGUGAAUUCGAUCUCUAAGAACUACAAUUCAACCUAUUAUUUGAGAGAGUAAAUCUCUCUUUAGGAUAAUUUGAGUGAUAUCAGCUGGUCGGGAUAAGCCAAGCUCGCCAUAUGGCGAGCUGGUCGGGACAGUCCGAGCUCGCCAUAUGGCGAGCUGGUCGGGACAGUCUGAGCUCACCAUAUGGCGAGCUGGUCGGGACAGUUCGAGCUCGCCAUAUGGCGAGCUGGUCGGGACAGUCCGAGCUCCCCAUAAGGCGAGCUGGUCGGGACAGGCCGAGCUCGCCAUAUGGCGAGCUGGUCGGGACAGUCCGAGCUUUGGCCUUCUUCGGGUGGUUCGGACGGUUGGGAAGCGUUGGUAAGCCCUUUUCCCGUUUAGUUGUUUGUUUCCCAAGAGUUUUUUUGUCGAAGAGAUUGGAUCUUCCAAUUCGAGAACUUGUCGUAUAACUUCUUCUAAAAUUAUACGAGACUUUUUGUUCCGAGAAAUAUUUUCCAGAGACUUUCAGACACUGAUUCCGUCGUGACUGAUUUUGACCCCUAAUGUGGAAGACUUUGAAUGAUAAUUUAUUUAGGGGCAUAGACAAGGAUCUCAUAGAACUAGUAAGACAUGCGGAUAGCGAAUAUCAAAAUUGUUUAAUAUAAAUGAAACAAUACCUUCAUCUCCACAAGAACAUUUUAAUGAGGAACUACAAGCGUUAACAGUACCCCAAUGAAGGAUUCUCCUCACCCCCCCCCCCCACCUCCCCCACCCCCCAUUGGAGGUGCUCUAAGCUAAUGUAACAUCUUUAUGGUGGAUGGCUAUUGAAUCUCUACAACUCAUUAAGUGGAUGCAGAUGGAUUUGGAUGAAUAGCUUGAGUAGAUUCAACUUAUGGCAAUGUGAAACUUAAGAUGUUGAGAGGCUGCUUUGCAUACAUAAUUAAAAGCACUGUAAUAGGCUAUGGAAAGCAUAAUCGAACAUUCGACAUGUUAGAACUUUAGAACAUACUGCAAGGAUCUGAUCGUAAUGAUAAAUGAGCCUCAUGCAUGGUUAUGUUUAGCAACAUAAUUGGAUGCGAUAAAAACUCUUCAGCUAUGCUUCUCGACUUUCAAGAUUUCUUAUAUCACGUGAGCGCAAAAUGAAAUUUAUGAUUUGUUAGCAAAAAUUACAAGGUCUUUGGUAGAAAUCUUUGUUUUAUUCAUCGUUAUAUUUCGAUCUGGGUGAUCUCCUUAAUUUGAGUAAUGGAACAUUUUUUUAUGGUCAAAAAGAAAAAAAAAUUCCUCAUAUCAUUAUUGAUUUGUACCGGAACAUAUUUUUUAUUGGGUUACAACUGGAACAGAAUAUUUAGGAGUCCGGAACAAUAUAAACUGAACCAUUACUGAAAAAGAUAACGUCGUCAUGGAAGCUUAUGCAUAUUUAAAAUGUUUUGGCAACCAUUUAGGACAUUUCUAAACAGACACUAAAUUUGGUGUUGAAAUUAUAUCAAAUUUAGUAUUUUAAUAUUAUAUUUUUUUUAUUAUCUCCAACCAUAACACUAAAUAUUACACCAAAUAUAAGAUUAUAUAUUAUUUGAUGUUUUCAAUUUUAAUAAAUUUUAUACUUCUAUUAUUUAUAAUUGAUAUAUAAUUAUUUUAUCAUAUUUAGAUGUUAUGUUGGUUAAUUUUUUAAAAUUUUAUGUUGAUAAUUUUGAUUUAGCAAUAUUAUACUUUUAUGUAUUUAUUUUAUAUAAAAUAUUAUGUUAAAAAUUACAAACUAUUAACUAUGAAAUGUACAUAACAAAAUAAUGUGUUUAUUUUAUGUUUUGAGUGUUUAUUUCCAAUUUAAUAUGCAUUUUAACCUUAUCCAGCUUAUAUUAUUAAUUUCUAAAUUUUAUAAAAUAUUAAUAUAAUUUUAUAUUAUUAAAAAUAAAAUAGAAAAGUUUUAUGAUAUUUCAGUUUUUAUAAUAUAAAGUAAAUGAUGAUAAUAAUUUAAUGAUUCUUUACUUAAAAAAAUUAACUAUGUAAAAAUAAUUUUAAAAUAUAAAUAAUACAAUAUAUUUAUGUCUAUUUACAAAUUUGAACUAAUUAAUAAUAAUAAUUGAGCUAUACUAUUAAAUGAAACAUAAUAAAAAUAUGCAUAUUAAAUAGUUGGUGUGAUGAAUAGUAUUAUUUAGUGGAAUGAUGUAAUUUAUAAAGUUUUAUUAUUAUACAUAAAAGUACAUCAAAUUUGGUAUUUGAGUGUUUUAUUGGAGUUGACCUUAACGACAGCUAGAAAGGCUCAAGGCCCCAUGAUUUCAGAAUAUUGCAUUGUAUUUUAUUAUUUAGUUUGUUUUUCUUCCCACGAUAUAUUUCAAUGAGUGGAAAAUAGUUUGUUUGAAUUGGUUCAAAAGCGUGUUACAAAAAAAAAAAGAGAAGAAUUGGUUCGAAGCAACUACGAAGGACACGAACAUGUCUUUUGAAGAAAAGAAUAUAAUGUAGAUAAUGUGUGCCGCGUUGAAUUGCUCGCCCACUUGGCUACUCUCGCUCAUCAUUAUAUUGCGUGGCAUAUUUGACCAUGUAUAUAUUUUUAUUUUGAUUAUUUGACUCUGUAUCGAAAAUAGAAAUCAUAAGAAUACAUAUAUGUAAUGCAAAGUCAUGGUAUUAUCAUUUAUACUCACUUUGGUUGUUGCAAACUUCCUAAGUACAUAGUUUGGAGAAAGUUAUAUAUAUUUAGCAUUUCAUCAAAAACUUGUAGUCCAUUAUUCUCCACCGGAAAACGUUAUGGGUUUCGAUACGGAAUCCCCGGACCGAAUUACACAAGAAGGAGAAGAAGCUAAUGUCGGAGUUGAGAAUCAACCAAAAGCAGCACCAAAUUUAACAGCUCUUGAUCAGCCACAAACUAUCAAGACACGAAACUGGUGGAUUUGGAUCUUUGUCUCUUCGGGUUUGGUCGUAACAGGACGGGUUUUCUCCACCCUUCUUCUAAACUUCUACUUUGUUCAAACAGGACGAGAUGUUUGUGACGACCCAAAACAAUUUAAAGGCACAUGGCUUCAGUCUAUGGUCCAAAACGCUGCGUUUCCAUUUACAGCCUUUUUUGCCUUUUUAUGGCGCUCUUUAUCUUCUAACCAUAGAGAAACUAUCACUUCUUCUGCUUCUUCUUUUGGCAAACUCUUUCUUCUUUACAUCUCUCUCGGGGUCCUCUUUGCUGCUUAUAGCCAACUUUAUGCAAUUGGAAGAACACACUGUAUCUUCUUCUUUUGGAUCUUUACAACACAAUUGAUCUUCACUUCCAUGUUUACAGCAAUCAUCAACAAACACAAGUUCAACCGUUGGAUCAUAUUAUCAGUUAUACUUUCUGGAGUUGCCACAGGCAUCACAUCUUCAGAAGAUGCCUAUAAUCCCUGCGAAGGCGAGGGCUACAAAAUGAGUUACGGUGCGUGGUGUGGCUUCUUUGGCACGGUAGCCUUCUCUUUAUCUCUAUGCAUCAUGCAAUUAGGGUUCGAAAAGGUCAUACCGAAGACAGAGAGUAAAGUUUCCUCGGUGAUGUUGAUGCAAACAUAUGCUUCUAUGAUUGCAACGUUGAUAUGUUUGGUUGGACUAUUUGUCAGCGGUGAAUUCAGAGACAUCAAAGAAGAUUUCGAGACAUUUAAGAAAGGGAAACCACUUUACGUUUUGACUCUAACUGGAUUAUCACUUGCCUGGCAAGUAAUGUCUAUAGGGCUUGUGGGUCUUGUGUGUUUGGUUUCUACUCUUUUCUCUAAUGUUGUCAGCUUCUGUGCAACCCCAUUAGCAAACAUUCUCGUUGUGGUGGCGUUUCGGUUUAUGGAUGAUGACAUUGAAUGGUUUAAGGGAGGAGCUUUGUUAGCUGGGAUACUUGGUUUUGCAUCUUACGCCUAUUCCUUGUACAAGACUGUUAAGAAAAGGGCAAGCCAAAGUGAAACACUGAGAGUAUGAUCUAUGUAUGUUGUAUAUGUAUUGUGUUCUGCUCUUUAGUUGUCUAAAUUGGAUUUUUUUUUAUUUGUCAGUGUUUAGCUAUAUUGGAUUGAAAAUGUUGAUCUUAUACUAUUUGGAAAUGUUAGUAUGAGUAAAAUAAAAUUAGUUUAAAUUCACAAAUCUUUUCAUGCCAAACGUUUCUACCAAUAAUCCCGGCAAGAACAAGUAACAACUCUAAAAUGAUGAAACCUCUUGUUAUCUCUUACAAUGAGAUCUAUUUUUAACAUUUAAUUAGAUCGGGUAAUUUUUCAAAACCUUUUGAAUCAAGUAGUACAAUGAUUCAAAAGGUUCUAACAAUACAAAAAUAUUUUCGCACUUAGGCGCACAUCGUGCUAAGAAAGAUAAGAAAAUUUUAGGGUAGCAAACAUUCUCUAGUAUUUCUAUCUUCAAUGCUGGAUAAUAUCUUCAUGAAGUUGUGGCAACCUCCACAUAUCCUAAAAUUCUUCAUCACUCUAAACGUCGUCCCAGGAGGACUCGUGUUUAUAAGCCCAAAAGCAAUAGCUAACCGUUUGCUGUGAUUCAUCAAUGCUUUCUCUUUAGCUUCUUCAUCGAUGUCAUGAAGAACAUAUCUCUUCUCACCAUCCCCAUAGUGUAUGAGACAAAUGUAUGCAUGAGCGAGAGCCCUUCCACACGGGACUCUCGGAUCACUAUGGCCGACUUUCGUCUCUGUUCGACCGAAAAUAUCCCCUUUUAGUUGGGAAUUAUCAAAAAAAUCAGCAAAUGUUACGAAAUUCAUAUUAACUGCAUUGAGUAUAAAUUCAAGGCAUAACAAUGGGUGGCAAAGUAGCUUUGCUACCUAUUCCAUUAGGAACGGCUGAUUUUUAUAUCCGAAGCAAGUUUUCAAGAAACAUAGUCUUCGUCUCUGGAGCAUAGCCUGCGUUUCUCACUUCUUUUCCUAAUGAUUCCAGCUUUGCUAUGGCCUUGCUUCUAUCCAUAAUAGAUAGUCUUCUUGCUAUUACUCUGCUACCAUUGUGAGUAGAAUACUUAACUUGGGUCUCAAUUUCCUCAUUCUUGUAGUAAACCCUCUUGAGAUCAGAGCUUAUCUUUUUCUGGGGUUCAACUUCACCAUCUCCUGUAAUUGCCUUUGCUCCACAGGUGAUGAUUCUGUGAAAGGAUAAGGCUUCUCUCUUAAAGGUGAUUGCUUUGGAGAAGGAGCAGAAACUCAUGGAGAAAGCAUACUCCAGAGACAUCGUUUGUGGUCAAUCCAAAAAAGGGAUAAGUUUUCUUUGGAGGGAAGUUUACGAUGUGGAGAGAGAAAUAGAAAGACUGACCAAUCUCCCACAUAUAUAACUACAGGAAGCCGACAACAUCACAAACAGCCAAACAAAACCUAUGUUUUCACUAUUAACACCGUGUCCACAUAAAGUUCCCUUCACAACCAGAAAAUGAAAUAAAAACUUUCUAAUCAAGAACCAUGGACCAUGGUACCCUUGUAAAUGUUUGCUUUUCGAUUUAACAUUGUAAAACUUCAGAGAACUCCUUGAGUAACAACUAUCGAGCUAUAUCUAUCAACUACAAAUUGUCGAAGCUUAUCAUAGCAUAUGUCCUCUCUUACCUGUUUUCCAUCCUCAAUGAAAUCCUUAAUGCUUCCAACAUGAAGGUUUCCUAUUCAACAUCGUACUAUAGGGUUGAAAGAUGUUAAAUCUGUUUUGACAUUAAGAGCUAGACCAUAGGUUGUCAUCAAUAUCGACGCACAAAUAACCUAUAGCCGCUACUUUUUGGUCGCCUAUAUAUAUAAUUUUUACCACACAAAUCACUGCAACUAUCAGAUCAUACAUAACUAAGAAGGGAAAAUUGCCAAAUGUGACUCACAACUUGAUUUAUAAUGCAAAAGUAAACCCAAACUUGAAUCAAAUGCAAAAUUAACCUAAAAGGCUAUUGAAAUUACAACCAGCCCCUUGUGAACAAACAAAAAAACCGAAUUUUUUUUACGUUUCUAACCCCCCGUAAGUCGUCUGGACUAGUUCUACUUAGAAAUAAUUUAAAAAUUUUGUAAAAAAUAUUUUGAUAAGUGAAAAAUUGAAAUCAUGUAAUUAACAUAUGUUUUAAGAGAUAUAAAUUAAGAUAUAACAAAAGUUAAUUGUUUUCAAGAUAGACGAGUGAAAGUAGUGAGUCAUGAUAUUCUUUGGGUUAGGUUUUGCCAACAUAUGUUGUAGUAUUGUAUGUGUUUUUAGGGUUAGAUUUUGGAAUGCAUAAAUGGUUUUUUGAAAACUUUAAAAUUUACCUAAGUGUGUUUAUUUCUGUGUAUAGUAAACAAUAUUUAAGUAUAAUUACGGCUUUAUAACGUGGUUAGUUAGUUAAUUUAGUCAAUUUAGUUUGGGACCAAAAUUCAAGAGAGAGCCCAUUAAUUUCCUGAUAUAGAAGUCACAAACCACUUGACUAUCUAAAUUUCAUAAAAGAAGACAUUAUUAAAAACCCAAUUCACUUACGGGAUAAGAAGCCGGUUGAGAGCCCACAACCAACAGAGACAAAACCAUAAGACUCGCUUAACCACCGCUCUAAGGAACGCACCGAUUCAGUCCGAGAACCAAAAAAGGUGUUUCGCUCGCUUCACGCGCCUACACAAAGAAGGAAAGGCGGAUAGAUCUGAGCCAUCAGUGUAGGAUAUGGGGAGUCACUGGUGCAUCAUCACAUCUUCAGAUCUAAACCACACACACUUACAUCGAACAGCAGCUCAAACGGCGCAACGUUGCUUCAUCUCACAACAAGGAGACCGAGGACCAUACAACUUAACAAAACACUAGGAAAGGCUCAACGACGUGGCUCGAGAACCAACGGACACUGGCCGCGCAAAAAAAAUAGAUCCAAGGAAAAAAACUCUAUAACGAGCAUCAUCCGAUAACCUUUUCAUGCAUCGGCCGAUACUAUUCGAACAUGAGCGUCGCUCGACAUCAUCCUAUUGUGAUACUCAUCGCAGAAACAGGUUAUCCGAUUCCUUUGCACAGUUUUUUAUUAUGAUUUAUUUUCUUCUCCGAUAUUGGGCUGAAUAACUUUGGACACAAUGGUGUUUAAGUCUAGGGAGGUGUUUACUAAUAUUUAGUUUUGUUAUUGAAUUUUUUUUCUUU